UAGGGAAUCUUCCACAAUGGACGCAAGUCUGAUGGAGCAACGCCGCGUGAGUGAAGAAGGUUUUCGGACCGUAAAGCUCUGUUGUUGGUGAAGAAGGAUAGAGGUAGUAACUGGCCUUUAUUUGACGGUAAUCAACCAGAAAGUCACGGCUAACUACGUGCCAGCAGCCGCGGUAAUACGUAGGUGGCAAGCGUUGUCCGGAUUUAUUGGGCGUAAAGCGAGCGCAGGCGGAAGAAUAAGUCUGAUGUGAAAGCCCUCGGCUUAACCGAGGAAUUGCAUCGGAAACUGUUUUUCUUGAGUGCAGAAGAGGAGAGUAGAACUCCAUGUGUAGCGGUGGAAUGCGUAGAUAUAUGGAAGAAUACCAGUGGCGAAGGCGGCUCUCUGGUCUGCAACUGACGCUGAGGCUCGAAAGCAUGGGUAGCGAACAGGAUUAGAUACCCCUGGUAGUCCAUGCCGUAAACGAUGAGUGCUAAGUGUUGGGAGGCUUCCGCCUCUCAGUGCUGCAGCUAACGCAUUAAGCACUCCGCCUGGGGGAGUACGACCGCAAGGUUGAAAC
rnacentral:rRNA from 1 species